GCAAGCGUAGCUCAGUUGGCAAGAGAGUGAUGGGAAACACAAGGUCGCAGGUUCGAGACCUGCCGCUUGCUCCA
rnacentral:tRNA from 1 species